rnacentral:tRNA from 4 species
GGGCCGCUAGCUCAUCUGGUAGAGCACCACACUUUUAAUGUGGGUGUGCCGCGUUCAAGUCGCGGGCGGCUCACCA